ensembl:lncRNA
CAGAAGGAGUUUCUUUGCUGCUUCCCUUUUCAGAAACUUGGAGACCAUAUAUCUUUGCAAAGUGGAUUUUUAAAAAUAAAACAAAGAAGAAAAGAUUAAACCAGAGAAGCUCCCAAGUUUUCUGCCUUCUGCCUGGACCAGCUUCCUGUGCUUCUUCCUUUCCAAAAUUGAUGUGGUAAAUGUUAUUGCAGUAGUACUGGCUCAGAAAAGCCCAGGCCUUCCAAGAAUGCAACCUUCAUGGAGAAAUUCUGCGACUCUUUCUCCUCUGGGGAGGCUGGAGAGUUCACCAUACUGAAUAUUCACACCUUGCACCAUGAACCCAGGUAAGGCACCUAUGUAUGAUCAUCCAAGCCAGGACCAGGGUGAGAUUAUGAUCAACUCACUCUCUCUGGAUAAGUCCUUCCUCAGCCUCCCUCGCAUCAAUUCAGCAUCAGCAAGGUGCAGAACUCGUCUGCUGCCUAGAGAUUGCCUCAGAGGUCUUGCAAGGGGUGAGCAUCUGGGCAGAGAUGGCCCCUCUUACUCAGUUAAUGGAGGAAGGGUUGACUCGGAAUAUCUGCUCAUUGAUAUAUUUUAUCCCAGAACAAGUAACACCCCAAAGCAUUUUAGUUCUUCCUGUGUGCCAGGCACUGGGAUCAGAACUUUACCCGAAUUACUUCACUUAAUCCUCACCACAGUCCUGGGAGGCAGAUAUUACUAUUUGCAUUUUACAGAUGAAAGUGAGGGAGGUUAAUUAUUGAUCAAGGUCCUAUAACUAACAUAUAAGUGGUGGAGCCAGCCUUGAACCCUGCCUGUCUAACCCCAGUGCCCAUGAUCUCAGUGAGCACAAUAUUGCUCACAGCAGAGGCAGUGGUGGGCUCUGAGACUAAGAGGAACACAGAGUGGGAGGCAGCCUGGGGACAACCCAUCCCACCAUGUGGAAUCAACUUCCUCCCCCAAAUGGGGAAGAAGUUGCACUCAGGGUAUGAGUCUUGCUGCUCACAGGGGCAGUCACAGCUUUGAGGAAAAGGGGUAGAAAGAAGUGGGGAGCUGGUGGGAACGGGGCAGAGGCAUCUGCUGGAGAACACUCAAUGUCAUCCUGAAUUAGAUCAUAAAAAGUAAGUGCUUUUUAAAAGCAAUUUUACUCAGCAGGGGAUGUGCUGUCAAGCUGCCUGGUGAUUCAGAGGCUCUCUGCCUCCCAUCCCCUUCUUUGGAGGUGGGGGUGAGGAUAUGGCUGUGGGGAACAAUGGCUCAGCUUCUCUGUUGUCUGCUAGAGGUUGACGUGACCCAGCUAUGGCUGAAUCCCAACCUGGCUGUCCUUAGCUCUUCCUGCACCCCCUUAGAGUCAGACAGAGCUGGUCUCCAAUCCCAGCAGGACUAUCCACCCAGAAGAGCUGUGUGACCUAACAGGAGUUGCUAAACCUCUUUUAGCCUUAGUUCUACCCUCCCUGAACAUAGGAAUAAUACCAGAACCUUGGCAUUGGGUUCUUGUGAGCAUUAAAUAAAAUAAAAUCUGCACAGUCUGGCAAAUAAUAAGCCCUCAAAAUUAGGACCUCUUUUUAUUAUUUAUUCUUGUUUUUAUUAUUAACACCUGCCUGAGAGAUUAAGAGUAGAGGGUUCAAAGUAAAAGGAAAGAAAGUCAUGCCUCCUUGCAGAAAGUAACAGAGAUUGCUACUGCUCGCUAAUGUUGAGUUCCUCCUCUUCUUCUUGGACCUCCCUUGCUAUGUGAUGAUCCUGACCAACGGGAUGUAUGCAGGAGAAAUGUCCACCCAUGGAAACCGCCUACACACGGCCCUCCACCUUAUCUUUCUGUCUUGUGAUGACCUUGUUGGAGAUGGCAGCACCAAAGAUGGUUAGAGCCUGGAUGCCUGCAUGACUGCACGGAGCAGAGCCCUCUCACUCCACCACUGGUGCCCCCUAAUGGACUGCUAGGUGAGUGCAAGACAACCUUGUGUCAAGUCACUAAGAAUUUGAGGGUGUUUUUCAUAACACUUAGCCCUUCUUGACUUUAACAGUCAGCCAGACCACCACAGGGAUUUUGUAACUUUCUGUGGCUUUAGAUUGUUUGAAAGUUUCAUGAAAUGAGAGAAUGACAGGAGACAGUCUCUAAAGCCCUUCUCAGCUCAGACAUUCAAGGUGGCUCACUGCUUGCUAAUAUGUAGUUAAGAAAUGCCCCGUACCCUCCUGGGAACCUGUGAGCCAGCAAUCCUAGAGAAGCCUUCAGAGGGGCCUGAGAAUACCACCUAGUCUCUCUCAUCCUCUGGGCUUCCUCCCCUGGGCCAGCCCAGCAGCAACUCUCCAGUUUCCCACCAGGUCAACAUUUAGGAGACAGAGAGUGUGAGAGAGUCACUAAAGCUCCAGAUCACGUGACUGAGCCAGAGUGACUGAGUAUGUGUGUGCCAGUGUGCAGGGAGGGGCCAGUGUGUAGGGAGGGGCUGCAGCUAAGUUGCUUUGCAGAUAUUUAUUUGUAGAUUUCUUUUUCUUAAACAGUUGUGGAGAGGUGUAGUUGUGGAGAGCUGAAGCUAAUCUCCAUAUUUCUGGGUGCUGGCAGACACUAUGUCAGUCAGAAACACCUGCAGUGAUGGCUGGCUUCUCUGUCCCCCUGCUCUCUCUCUCCCUGCAGACCUCUUUCCUUUUAUCCUGAGGCAUCUUCACAAGUGCUGACCCAGGGAAUGUGCUUGCCAUGAGCCAUUGGAUUCUGUCAGAGAUGGAAGGGACCUACCCAGGGGAUCGUCUUUCUGGAGAUGCAGAAAAGGAGAAAGGGAGAAGGGAGAAAGUGAAGUGGGGGAGGGAAGAAAGGUAGGGAAAGGGAGGCAGGCAGGAGGCAGGGAGGAGAGGAGGGACGUUCAUGUGAACUGGGUCCCUGCAGGGUACAUUAGCAGAUCCCAUUAACUACAGCCAAACAGAACUGGGUCCAACUCCUCCUUAAGCCAACUACUGAGUGAUGUCAGAAAAAUUUCAAAACUUUAGUUACACAUCUUAUAAUGGAGAUUGCCCAGGGAUGGUGGCUCCCACCUGGCUUACUCCUGUAAUCCCAGGAGGCUAAGGCAAGAGAAUUGCUUGAUGAGAGUUCAAGACCAGCUUGGGCAACAAAGCAAGACCUCCCCCCUACAAAAAAUGAUAAUAAUAAAUGGGGAUUAUACUAGCUACCUCUUAGUGAUGUGAGGAUUAAAUGAGAUAAUGUACGUAAAGCCCAUGUUGGCCGAUAGAGGUGCUUAACGAAGAGCAGUUACAGUUGUCCCUUGGGAUCCAUAGAGGAUUGGUUCUAGGACACUUUAUGGACACGAAAAUCUGCAGAUGAGCAAGGCCCUUAUAUAGAAUGGCAUAGGAUUCACUUAUAACCUAUGCAUAUCCUCCUGUAUUGCUUAACAAUGGGGAUAUAUUUUGAGAACUGUGAUGUUAGGUGAUUUUGUCAUUGUGCAAACAUUAUAGAGCAAGGGUCCCCAACCCCUGGGCCACAGACCAGUACCAGUGUGUGGCCUGUUAGCAACCAGGGCUCACAGCAGGAAGAGAGCAGCAGACAAGCCAGGGAAGCUUCAUCUGUAUUUACAGCCACUCUCCACCAUUUGCAUUACUGCCUGAGCUCUGCCUCCUGUCAGAUCAGCAGUGGCAUCAAAUCCUCAUGGGAGCACAAACCCUAUUGUGGACUACACAUGCCAGGGAUCUAGGUUGCACCUUCCUUAUGAGAAUCUAAUGCCUGAUGAUCUGUCACUGUCUCCCAUUACCCCUAGAUGGGAAUGUUUAGUUGCAGGAAAACAAACUCAGGGCUCCCACAGAUUCUACUUUAUGGUGAGUUGUAGAAUUAUUUCAUUAUAUAUUAAUAUUACAAUGUAAUAAUAAUAGAAAUAAAGUGCACAAUAAAUGUAAUGUGCUUGAAUCAUCCUGAAACCAUCCCCUCCCCCAACCUUAUUCGUGGAAAAAUUAUCUUCCAUGAAACUGGUCCCUGGUGCCAAAAAGGUUGGGGACCACUGUUGUAGAGUGUACUUACUCAAACCUAGAUGACACAUAACCUACUACACACCUAGGCUAUAUGGUAUAGCCUAUUGCUCCUAGGCUACAAAUCUUUACAGCGUAAUACUGUAAGCAACUGUAAUACAAUGGUAAGUAUUUCUGCAUCCAAACAUAGAAAAGGUAAAGAAAAAAUAUGAUAAUAUAACUUUGGCCAGGCACGAUGGCUCAUACCCAUAAUCCUGGCACUUUGGGAGGCCAAGGUGGGCAGAACCCUUGUGCCCAGGAAUUCAAGACCAGCCUGGUCAGCAUGGCAAAAUGCCGUCUCUGCAAAAAACACAAAAAUUAACUGGGCAUGGUGACACACGUCUGUAGUCCCAGCUGAGGCAGGACGAUCACCUGAACCUUGGAGGUCGAGGCUCCAGUGAGCUGUGGUUGCACCACUGCACUCCAGCCUGGGUGACAAAGUGAAACCUUGUCUCAAAUAAUAAUGAUCAUCAUCAAAAUCACCAUCAUCAUCAUCAUCAUCAUCAUCAUCAUCAUCUUAUGGGACCACUGUUAUGGAUGAGGUUCAUAAUUGACUGAAACAUCACUGUACGGCACAUGACUGUACUUUAAAUCAUCUCUGGAU